rnacentral:rRNA from 1 species
UACGUAGGGGGCAAGCGUUGUCCGGAAUCAUUGGGCGUAAAGAGCGUGUAGGCGGCUCGAUAAGUCUGCUGUGAAAGUCCAGGGCUCAACCCUGGAAGGCCGGUGGAAACUGUCGGGCUAGAGUCCGGAAGAGGCGAGUGGAAUUCCCGGUGUAGUGGUGAAAUGCGUAGAUAUCGGGAGGAACACCAGUGGCGAAGGCGACUUCCUGGCCUGUUCUUGACGCUGAGGCGCGAAAGCUAGGGGAGCAAACGGG